GAUGAACGCUAGCGGCAGGCUUAAUACAUGCAAGUCGUGGGGCAGCAGGACUGUAGCAAUACAGUUGCUGGCGGCCGGCAAACGGGUGCGGAACACGUACGCAACUUAUCCUGAACUGGGGGAUAGCCCGGGGAAACCCGGAUUAAUAGCCCGUAAUAUAAUGGAGUGGCAUUACUUUAUUAUUAAAGCUCUGGCGGUUCGGGAUGGGCGUGCGGCUGAUUAGGUAGUUGGUUGAGGUAACGGCUCACCAAGCCUACGAUCAGUAACUGGUGUGAGAGCACGACCAGUCAAACGUGAACUGAGACACGGGCCCGACUCCUACGGGAGGCAGCAGUAAGGAAGAUUGGGCAAUGAAGGCUACUCUAACCCAGCCAUGCCGCGGCGAGGAUGAAGGCCCUCUGAGUAGUAAACUUCUUUUGUAGGGGACGUAACCUAUGUAUUCUUACGCAGUUGACGGUACCCUAUGAAUAAGCACCGGCUAACUCCGUG
rnacentral:rRNA from 1 species